rnacentral:misc_RNA from 1 species
AGGCCUAAAUGUGUUUGGAUAACCUAUUUAGAAAAUAAUGUUUAUUUUAAAACGAAAUAAGGGAAAUCAGAAAUACUGAUAAUUAGAUCUAAAUCUAUGUCCAGAGGUGAUUUUGUUUUUGGGGGUGUACUAAUGUAAAAUAAUAACUUUUGUCAGGUAAUUCAAGCGGAUGAAAACGUUACUUCAUCUUAAAGUACAAAUUUUCAUUAAUAUACCACGGAAUCUGUUUCAAACGUCAUUAGUUAAAAAAACAAAAAUUGGUAUAAACACUAAAGUUCUCAUGAGAGUUAUCUCCCUUCUACCGUAUGCUAAAGUCCAACUCCGUGUCAAGUCAAUUACAUGUUGGUUCAAUGCCUGGGGAGAUGAAUAAGAGGGUAUAUCUGAAGUCACGACCUGGGGUGAAUGGGGAACCUACCGAAGAUAAUUUUUGUGUAGAAGACUGUGAAACACCUUCACCAGACCAGCUCCAUGACGGAGAGGCACUGGUCCAAACCCUCUACCUCUCUGUCGACCCAGCAUUUGUAUGCAUGUCAUGUACACUACAAACUUUCAAAAAACCCAUGCUGUCUCCAUCAGGAUAUAAUGGAGUGUACUGUCAUUCACAAACAAGAUGUUGUUUAAAUGAGGACUCUGGGGCGGAGUAUUUGACUCCCCUGCAGAUCGGUGACACUGUGCACUGGUUAGGUAUUGGUGUUGUCACGGCAAGCAAGGACAAGGGACUCGACCAUGGGGACUUUGUCACAUCAAACUUUGACUGGCCAUGGACAAAGGUCUUUGUCAAGGCGGCUAACCGGCUGAAAAAGCUGCCAAAAGAAAGUGUUCAAGAACGUCCAUCUCUAGCUCUCAGUGCUCUUGGUGUGACUGGUCUCACAGCUUAUCUUGGAAUCAAGGUGAAAGGUCAUGUGUCCCCGGCAGCCAAUCAGACGAUGGUUAUCAGUGCUGCAGCAGGAUCAACAGGGUCACUUGCUGGACAGAUAGCCCGGGCCGAGGGCUGCAAGUGUGUGGUGGGCAUCUGUGGCAGUGAGGAGAAGUGUGCAUAUCUCACAUCCCAGCUGGGUUUUGAUGCUGCCAUUAAUUACAAGGCAGAGGAUGUCAGUAGUAGACUGAAGGAAACGUGUCCAGAUGGAAUAGACGUGUACUUUGACAACGUUGGUGGUGACAUCAGCGACAAGGUCAUACAACAGAUCGCAGUCUACAACAAGGAUGUCCCCUAUCCUCCUCCCAUUCCAACAUCCACUCAGCAAACUCUGGCGGAGAGGAACAUCACCAGUGGUGGGGUCUGGGGGGACAGUACUCAGUGACCUAUCUGCGCUACACCCCAAGCACACACAGGACAGUGAUUGAGAUCGCUUCCUUGUGUUGAACUAUGCAGACCAGUUUGAUGAGGCUCUGCAGACUCUCGCUGGCAUGUUGCACCAAGGCAAGCUGCAGGUUCGAGAAACUGUAAUGGAGGGUGUUGAGAAUGCAGGGAAAG